rnacentral:rRNA from 1 species
AUCGAACGCUGGCGGCAUGCUUUACACAUGCAAGUCGAACGGCAGCGCGGGCUUCGGCCUGGCGGCGAGUGGCGAACGGGUGAGUAAUGCAUCGGAACGUGCCCAGUAGUGGGGGAUAGCCCGGCGAAAGCCGGAUUAAUACCGCAUACGACCUGAGGGUGAAAGCGGGGGACCGAAAGGCCUCGCGCUAUUGGAGCGGCCGAUGUCGGAUUAGCUAGUUGGUGGGGUAAAGGCUUACCGAGGCGACGAUCCGUAGCUGGUCUGAGAGGACGACCAGCCACACUGGAACUGAGACACGGCCCAGACUCCUACGGGAGGCAGCAGUGGGGAAUUUUGGACAAUGGGGGCAACCCUGAUCCAGCCAUGCCGCGUGCGUGAAGAAGGCCUUCGGGUUGUAAACCGCUUUUGUUCGGGAAGAAAUCCUCUAGGCUAAUACCCCGGGGGGAUGACGGUACCGGAAGAAUAAGCACCGGCUAACUACGUG